rnacentral:rRNA from 1 species
GAGUGAUCGAAAGAUGAAAAGCACCUUGAAAAGAGGGUUAAACAGUACGUGAAAUUGUUGAAAGGGAAGCGCUUGUGACCAGACUUGGGCGCGGCGAAUCAUCCGGGGUUCUCUCCGGUGCACUUCGCCGUGUUCAGGCCAGCAUCAGUUCGGCGCGGGGGAAAAAGGCUUCGGGAACGUGGCUGCUCCGGCAGUGUUAUAGCCCGUUGCAUAAUACCCUGCGCUGGACUGAGGACCGCGCAUCUGCAAGGAUGCUGGCGUAAUGGUCACCAGCGACCC